rnacentral:rRNA from 1 species
GACGAACGCUGGCGGCGUGCUUAACACAUGCAAGUCGAACGGAAAGGCCCUGCUUUUGUGGGGUGCUCGAGUGGCGAACGGGUGAGUAACACGUGAGUAACCUGCCCUUGACUUUGGGAUAACUUCAGGAAACUGGGGCUAAUAUCGUAUAGGAGCUCCUGCUGCAUGGUGGGGGGUGGAAAGUUUCGGCGGUUGGGGAUGGAUGCGCGGCUGAUCAGCUUGUUGGUGGGGUAGUGGCUUACCAAGGCUUUGACGGGUAGCCGGCCUGAGAGGGUGACCGGCGACAUUGGGCCUAAGAGACGGCGCAGUGUCCAACGGGAGGCAGUGGUGGGAAGUCUUACACAAUGAGCGGGAGCGUGAGGCAGCAACGCUGCGUGCGGAAUGACGGCCUUCGGGGUAUGAACCGCAUUAGCCUGAGACGAAGCGUGACUGACGGUAAUGAGUGAAGAAGCACCGGCUAACUACGUG